GAUGCUAAUACCGGAUAACAACAGAUGAUGCCUAUCAACUGUUUAAAAGAUGGUUCUGCUAUCACUCUUGGAUGGACCUGCGGUGCAUUAGCUAGCUGGUAGGGUAACGGCCUACCAAGGCGAUGAUGCAUAGCCGAGUUGAGAGACUGAUCGGCCACAUUGGGACUGAGACACGGCCCAAACUCCUACGGGAGGCAGCAGCU
rnacentral:rRNA from 1 species